AGAGUUUGAUCCUGGCUCAGGACGAACGCUGGCGGCGUGCCUAACACAUGCAAGUCGAACGGAGUUUAAAUGAGAGCUUGCUCUGAUUUAAAUUUAGUGGCGGACGGGUGAGUAACGCGUGAGCAACCUGCCUUUUUGAGGGGGAUAACACCGGGAAACCGGUGCUAAUACCGCAUAAUAUAUUGAGGUCGCAUGGCUUUGAUAUCAAAGGAGCAAUCCGCAAAAAGAUGGGCUCGCGUCCGAUUAGCUAGUUGGUGGGGUAAAGGCCUACCAAGGCGACGAUCGGUAGCCGGACUGAGAGGUUGAACGGCCACAUUGGGACUGAGACACGGCCCAGACUCCUACGGGAGGCAGCAGUGGGGGAUAUUGCACAAUGGGGGAAACCCUGAUGCAGCAACGCCGCGUGAGGGAAGAAGGUUUUCGGAUUGUAAACCUCUGUCCUAGGUGAAGAAAGAAAUGACGGUAGCCUGGGAGGAAGCUCCGGCUAACUACGUGCCAGCAGCCGCGGUAAUACGUAGGGAGCGAGCGUUGUCCGGAAUUACUGGGUGUAAAGGGUGCGUAGGCGGCCUUGUGGGUCAGGCGUGAAAUACAUGGGCUUAACUCAUGGACUGCGCUUGAAACUAUAAGGCUUGAGUGAAGUAGAGGUAGGCGGAAUUCCCGGUGUAGCGGUGAAAUGCGUAGAGAUCGGGAGGAACACCAGUGGCGAAGGCGGCCUGCUGGGCUUUAACUGACGCUGAGGCUCGAAAGCAUGGGUAGCAAACAGGAUUAGAUACCCUGGUAGUCCAUGCCGUAAACGAUGAUUACUAGGUGUGGGUGGUCUGACCCCAUCCGUGCCGGAGUUAACACAAUAAGUAAUCCACCUGGGAAG
rnacentral:rRNA from 1 species